UACGAAGGGGGCUAGCGUUGCUCGGAAUGACUGGGCGUAAAGGGCGCGUAGGCGGUGCCUCAAGUCAGGCGUGAAAGCCCCGGGCUCAACCUGGGAACCGCGCUUGAGACUGGAGUACUAGAGUUCGGGAGAGGAUGGUGGAAUUCCCAGUGUAGAGGUGAAAUUCGUAGAUAUUGGGAAGAACACCGAUGGCGAAGGCGGCUCACUGGCCCGGUACUGACGCUGAGGUGCGAAAGCGUGGGGAGCAAACAGG
rnacentral:rRNA from 1 species